UCUCUCUCUAAGUCUCAGGAGCACCUUUGGUCGAAGAAGCUGGAGUACACAUUUUCUAAUCUAAUCAAAUCACUCCCAACACUAAAAACACACUGCCUUUUCUACAUUAUGCAAGCCAUGCACACUGAGCUUCUUCAUCUUUUGACUAAUGAACGAGGUUCUGUAGGGCAACCAAACUAUCUGAGGCACAGUCCCUAGCUUGAGUUGUUCCAAGUGCAAGUUUUUUAGAAGUUGCAAUGACGAAUUAUACUUCCAUUCAAGCUUCAAAGUUUCUGCAAAGCUGAUUUCCUAUAGAUUUGAUGCAGCCUUUUGCAGUAGCUUUGUAAUCUGGAAAUUCAACCUGUUACAACUUCCAUUUUAGAUAUUAUGUUAAUGUUUUUAUUCUGUACAACUUCCAUUUGUAAUCCUUUCUUCUGCAGAGUGUUAAGGCCAAGUUAUUCCAAUUUCAUUCCUAUCUAAAGAUUUAGCAAGUUGCUA